rnacentral:rRNA from 1 species
AAUGGGGGCAACCCUGAUCCAGCCAUGCCGCGUGAGUGAAGAAGGCCUUAGGGUCGUAAAGCUCUUUCGCCUGUGAUGAUAAUGACAGUAGCAGGUAAAGAAACCCCGGCUAACUCCGUGCCAGCAGCCGCGGUAAUACGGAGGGGGUUAGCGUUGUUCGGAAUUACUGGGCGUAAAGCGCGCGUAGGCGGAUUGGAAAGUUAGAGGUGAAAUCCCGGGGCUCAACCCCGGAACUGCCUUUAAAACUCCCAGUCUUGAGUUCGAGAGAGGUGAGUGGAAUUCCAAGUGUAGAGGUGAAAUUCGUAGAUAUUUGGAGGAACACCAGUGGCGAAGGCGGCUCACUGGCUCGAUACUGACGCUGAGGUGCGAAAGUGUGGGGAGCAAACAGGAUU